CUGAGAGCUCUCUGAAAGCAGGGUCGGCUGAGGUCACUGUUGUAUCCCCAGCUGCUAGAACAGUGCCAGGCUCAUAGAAAACUCUGGCGCUUCUAAAGGGAACUCCACCCAAGCCCAGCUCCAGCAGGAAAUACCAAAAACUGCCCCUCUGUAGUUUGGGUCAUGGCACUCUUGCAUGAAGGAAAGGAGUAACAACUAAACCGGAGAUUUUUACUUCAGUGAUGGUUGAAGCGGCACAUUCCACAAGGUAGAGAAUGAAGAAGUGAUACAGGAGCAGGGGCAGGGAAGUGCUGGGAGGAGAAGGGUGGGGUCCCUGGCGAGGGAGCCACCCUCGGGUCUGUGCCCACGGACCUAGGUGAGGACAGGCACUCCUGUUUUCACACCCAAAUGUUGCAUUUUCCAAGAUGACCCUGGCCCGCCAUGCCCCCAUUCUGUGCCUAUAAAAACCCCCGAAACCCUAGUGGGUAGAGACACAAGCAGCUGGACGUCAAGAGGAGCACACGGGCAGAACAUACUGGCAGGCUCCAGCAGACCCUGGCAGGCCAUCCACCGGUGGAACAAGGAAGCCAGAGGAAUUUGGCCGGGGUGGUUGGAGUUGAGUCUGGCUACUGAGCAACAGACUCCAGGGAAAACCACCUUCCCACUCUGUCCCCCUUCUGGCUCCCCAUCCAUCUGCUGAGAGCUACUUCCACCAUUCAAUAAAACCCUGCACUCAUUCUCCAUGUAUUUUUGUAUGUAGGAUAAAAUUCAAAACACUUAACUGUGCCCACAUGUGAUGCAAUUUUUCCGAUACACUAAGGCAAGAACCCCAAGACGAAAAGCCCUCUGUCCUUGCAAUAAGGCAGAGUGUCUAAUUGAGCUGAUUAACACAAGCCGCCU
rnacentral:lncRNA from 1 species